GAUGAACGCUAGCUACAGGCUUAACACAUGCAAGUCGAGGGGAAACGACAUCGAAAGCUUGCUUUUGAUGGGCGUCGACCGGCGCACGGGUGAGUAACGCGUAUCCAACCUGCCCAUCACUUGGGAAUAACCUUGCGAAAGUAAGACUAAUACCCAAUGACAUCCCACGAAGACAUCUGAAUGGGAUUAAAGAUUUAUCGGUGAUGGAUGGGGAUGCGUCUGAUUAGCUUGUUGGCGGGGUAACGGCCCACCAAGGCAACGAUCAGUAGGGGUUCUGAGAGGAAGGUCCCCCACAUUGGAACUGCGACACGGUCCAAACUCCUAUGGGAGGCAGCAGUGAGGAAUAUUGGUCAAUGGGCGAGAGCCUGAACCAGCCAAGUAGCGUGCAGGAUGACGGCCCUAUGGGUUGUAAACUGCUUUUAUAAGGGAAUAAAGUGGGUCUCGUGAGACUUUUUGCAUGUACCUUAUGAAUAAGGACCGGCUAAUUCCGUG
rnacentral:rRNA from 1 species